GUAAUUUUUUUUACAGAACCUGUUCUGUAAUUCGAAAAUUUUCGGUAAUUGAUCGAUCUGACGUCUUGUUUUUACCGAGUUCGGUAGAUCGAUCCUUUAUUUAACGAGGCUCGUUUAUUUUUAUGUAAACAAAUCGCUUUGCCGUAAAUUUUCGGUGAAAAAACACCGAAAACUGUAAAUUAGUGUUGCUGUCAACACAAACGUCAAGUUUCGAGCGCACAUUUUUUGCAGCUUUGAGCGCAACCGUCUCUUUUUGAUAACCGCGAUGUAUUAGUGGCGUCCCGCUUGCGCAAAAUCAAUUUGAAACGUUUUUAAUUUUUGCAUAUGCGCAGGGGGUGCUUUCAAUCGAGCAGUAAAGUUUCGGUAUCACGUGUUAGUAGAUGAUGUUGGGGGUCAAAAUGUUCAACCGCUGCGUGUUGAAGUUAAUUAAGACCAUUAAUUGUGAUUGAAAAAAGUGAAUCUAAUGUGUCAAACAUCUUUCGGUGACUGUUUAAAACCACAUUCCACCAGUUAUUUAAAAAAAAACCUCAAAACCACAACGGUAAAAGAGCACCAGGCUCUGUAAUUUGACUUGAAUUCCUCAGGUUCAACAGGCAAGUUCAGUACGGUAAAGUAAUCUGAGGUUUUCGCCUACUUUUUAAAUUUAAGACCAAAUAACCCGCCUGACACUGAUGCUGAUAAUAAGUGUUUUGCGUUUCCGAAAUUUAGGUUGUUUUGGAUUCAUUUCGAGGACGGCUGUUCCAUUAAUCUUAACUGUAGGCAGAUAAACAACCAAAUUGAAACGAUGGAAUUGGAUUAACAACCGACCGAACAGUUUGGAAGUGCAGGAAACAAAUUUGAAUUCAUCCGUGGCCUUCAUGGAAAAUACUACUUAAUACCUCAAAAAACCUUCCAAUGGAGCUCUUUCGUUUAUUUGCAGGAACCGGAACAUUCUGCUUACCAGCUUGGUUAAAGUUGGCUGAAUACCAGUUGUGCCAUUAUCGAUGACGGAUCUAUGGUUGGAGCUGAUGCCAAUGCUGUUAUCAAAGUUAUCAUCGCAGUUAUACGAAAGCUAUUCGCGCUUCUAAACCUUGUUAUUAUCUGUGAAUGCUAUGAACGCACUCCAAUUUAUUUACCACUUUAGAACGAUUUUUCGUGGCCGGAUGAGUAUAAAACCGCUCGUGUAUUGUCGAACCGCCCGCUUAAAUCUUCCUGAACAGGACAAGCAACUCGUGUGCAGUGGCCAGAAUUUGGAUGUCAACAUGAAGGACAGAGGUUUUGUGCGCAAUCGAAUUGGGCAGAUGACCGAGAUGGCUACAUAUAUCGAUCGAAUUCAGAGACAAAUUAUCCUGGGAAAGUACAUGACGCUCUGCGUAGUGCUGUUGUAGGAUGACCAUAAUUUUGCUGAAAAUCACGAAAAAAGAACAGUUAAAGGAUUCGAAGCUUACUUGAACAUUUCAGGAUCCGAUAAGGAAGAAUGUUAAUAAGCUGCCAAUAUGAAAAAGGAAAUAUAUAUAGUUCGGGAUUUCUGGAAAUCCGAAAUGCGAGCGUCGAUAAAUAAUUUUAGCAUCCGUCGUUAGCUUAACGCUAAGCCAUCUCACAAAGGAUUCUCGGUUUAAAAAGUCUGUGCCAAAUCAAGUCUGGUAAGCGAAAACGACUGUAUCAACGUUAAAUACCCCGCAAUGGCUGGAAAUAGGACAUGUCGUAGGAACUGAUUAAGUGCCAUACUCAUGAAUUUCCAAUCGGGCAACAAUAUAAGGGAUUUUUCAACAGGAGGUGUUAAAUCGUUCAAAUUGUACAGCUUAAUUCCUUAUUAACUGACACUGAAUUAUUUCAUCGAAGAGGUUAGAUUCAUUAUGGCAAGGCUUGUGAACAUAAUCGACAUCGACCCAGUGUUGUGAAGAAAGUAGGUAACCAAAUGGCACUGCGUGAGCCAAGACUCAUUAGGGAUCAUCGGAUUGAAAUCAAGCCAAAUAAACAUCCAAGUGCUGCGCCAAAAUCCGAUGGAUUGAUGACCGAUGUACUCUGCCGAACAAACCUGCGUUCGGUAAGUAACAGGUUUGAAAAUUCCCAUCUUCAAAAUUGUUAGUAUAAUUUUGAUAUUUUUCGGGUUGGAAGUAUUUUUUUGCUCACAUAGAAAAUUAAAACAGGCAUAUAUUUACACAAGUAAAAUAGCAAUAUUCAGUUUAUGUUAUAAAAUUAUAUUAUUUAUUCCAAUACACGUGAAAGGAGAAUUAAAUGUUCAUUCGUCUUAACGUUCAGAGUAGGAGACAUUCAUACUAUUUAGCAUGUUGCUACUACAUAAAUGAAGGCGUUUAACACUUCAGAUUGCCAUUAUGAAUAUAGCCUCCGCUGGCAGAUAAAGAAGUACUGUCAACAUUAUGAAUCUUUGUAUCGGUUUUUUAAAAAAAGGUAGUUUUUUUGUAUCGAUCAUACUUACUUAUACAAAUAAUAUAAAUUUUUUAGUACAGCACUCGCUCGUGGAACGGAUAUUUUUUAAAUCAAUUUCUCUUGGUGAUCGGACGUUUUGGCAGAUGAAAUCAGUCAAGUUCAGUUCAUUUUCUACGUUACUGAUGGUCCUCGGUCCAAAAAUUAAUUUUUGUUCCUUUAUCAUUUUAUUACAGAUGGAUGUAAAGAAUUCGAUCAUCGAUGUGUAUGCUGAUAGGAUUUGCUCAGCGCUUGUUAAUGAGAAAAACUAUGCUCCUGCUACAAAGUCAAUUCCUUGUGGCCCUCAGUUUUCAGUUUCAGGAAACACAAUGAAAAGAUAUUUAAACAAGAAUGGAAAUAGAGAUACAAGGAAAUUAUUUUUGCUCAAAUAAUUUAAGGAAAGGUUUGUUUUAAGAAUUAAAUCUUAGAGUUUUAUCAUUUCUUGUACGUUAUAAUUCUAAUUAAAAAGUCGUCAAAUUAUUAAUAAAAAUAAGUUAAAAAAUAUCUUCGUUAAUUGAUUUUUUUAAAGCAUAUCCAAAGUUGGUAUCAGUUUAAUACUUAGUUAACAAUACCUAAUGGUUAUCAAUCGAGAAGUUUUAUCUACUUUAAGCUGGCCAUUUAAAAUAUUUACUUGUAGAAUUACUUUGCUAUGUUUGGCUUUAAACUGAAUCGUAUAAGCCGUUUCUAAUAAAAAUUAUAAAAAAAAUUCUUUUC